CCUACGGGGAGCUGCAGUGAGGAAUAUUGGUCAAUGGACGGAAGUCUGAACCAGCCAUGCCGCGUGCAGGAAGACGGCUCUAUGCGUUGUAAUCUGCUUUUGUACAAGGGUAAACCUGCAUACGUGUAUUCAGCUGAAAGUACUGUACGAAUAAGGAUCGGCUAACUCCGUGCCAGCAGCCGCGGUAAUACGGAGGAUCCAAGCGUUAUCCGGAUUUAGUGGGGUUAAAGGGUGCGUAGGCGGAUUGAUAAGUUAGAGGUGAAAUGUCCGAGCUUAACUCGGGAACUGCCUUUAAUACUGUUGAUCUAGAGAGUAGAUGCGGUAGGCGGAAUGUAUGGUGUAGCGGUGAAAUGCUUAGAGAUCAUACAGAACACCGAUUGCGAAGGCAGCUUACCAAUCUAUAUCUGACGUUGAGGCACGAAAGCGUGGGGAGCAAACAGGAUUAGAUACCCGAGUAGUC
rnacentral:rRNA from 1 species